UCUGUGCGAACACCGUUUACAGGCGUUUUGACGACACUUGAUCAAGUCCGCAGCAUCUUCGCUCGUGCGAGCACAUCGAAAGUUCGGUCUCCGGCGUUCGGAUCACCAAUCACAUCGUUCCGAACGAUCUGCACGCGUGCGAGUCGUACAAGCCGACCCGGCGAAACGGUCGAACCAAGCGGGAACACGGCGUUCGUUGCGCGGGACACGCGGUUCCUCGUUCGCGUCCGUCAUUUCCGGCGUCCGAAGGUACAUUCCUCAGCGAUGAGUCUCGCUCCCUCAGUAGUAACGGAUCUUGCGUUUAGCGACGACCUCUUGCAGCAGCCGCCUGUCGAACGGCGUGUGACGCCGAUGAUUCUUAGCCUCGGGAAACGUGUUACCCUUGGAUCGUUUUCCGUAGAACGAGCUCCGGCCGUCCGCCUCGAGUUCCUCGAUCGACGGCACGCGAGACGAUCUGUACUCGUCGACGUCCUCGUCCCGCGGCAACGGGCGCGUCGAGUCCUCAGGCACCGGCCGUCCAUCCGGGUAAACACGGAUCACCAUCGGCCCGACCAAGUACGGGCCUGUGUGCUCCGCGGGCGGCCGAACGUAAUCGUGCGACGGCUCCGUCUCUUCGCUCAGGCCGUUCGUCUCGCUGUCGCUGGUAGCUGAAAAGACGUUUCACGUUAGUCGCGUUACAGCUCGCGGAAUUCUCGGCGUUCGAGCCGACACCGUUUUCACGUUUAGGUUAUGGAAGAAUGGCGGAAGAAUUAUGGCGCCCAUUUUUUACAAUAAAGAACAAAACAUAGUAUUAAUACACCGACAGAGAAUCAGAGAGCCAGCAGUCAGGAGAGCGUAAAAUUUAUAUUCCGCAGAAAAAUCCGACGUCUGACACGUUGAAAUAUCCUGCAAAAAGAAUCGAUCGCGACGAGUGAAAGAAUGCGUUUCCAGCGAUUUGAAAAAUAGCGAGAGAAGCUGAACGCGAUUACCGAGACGAAUUUCUAGUCCUCGAGUCCUCGCGUGACAUAACGCGAAUUGCAAAUGAAGGUGCGGUGUAGCAGGUGGAAUAAACAUGGCUGGAAUCAA